UGGGAAACUGCCCGAUGGAGGGGGAUAACUACUGGAAACGGUAGCUAAUACCGCAUAACGUCGCAAGACCAAAGAGGGGGACCUUCGGGCCUCUUGCCAUCGGAUGUGCCCAGAUGGGAUUAGCUAGUAGGUGGGGUAACGGCUCACCUAGGCGACGAUCCCUAGCUGGUCUGAGAGGAUGACCAGCCACACUGGAACUGAGACACGGUCCAGACUCCUACGGGAGGCAGCAGUGGGGAAUA
rnacentral:rRNA from 1 species